rnacentral:precursor_RNA from 17 species
AACCUGAUGCCGUUUGUCCGUUCGUCCAGUGCCCUUUUUAUGUUGUACUACUAGUGAUAACAGAAAAAAAGCAGUGCAAUAUUAAAAGGGCAUUGGCUGGCGACCAAGCCAAUGUUGCAGAUU